AGUGAACGCUGGCGGUAGGCCUAACACAUGCAAGUCGAACGGCAGCACAGUAAGUGCUUGCUCUUACGGGUGGCGAGUGGCGGACGGGUGAGGAAUACAUCGGAAUCUACUUUUUCGUGGGGGAUAACGUAGGUAAACUUACGAUAAUACCGCAUACGACCUACGGGUGAAAGCAGUGGAUCUUCGGACCUUGCGCGAUUGAAUGCGCCGAUGUCGGAUUAGCUAGUUGGCGGGUUAAAGGCCCACCAAGGCGACGAUCCGUAGCUGGUCUGAGAGGAGGGUAGGCCACACUGGAACUGAGACACGGUCCAGACUCCUACGGGAGGCAGCAGUGGGGAAUAUUGGACAAUGGGCGCAAGCCUGAUCCAGCCAGACCGCGUCGGUGAAGAAGGCCUUCGGGUUGUAAAGCCCUUUUGUUGGGAAAGAAAAGCAGCAGGUUAAUACCCCGCUGUUCUGACGGUACCCAAAGAAUAAGCACCGGCUAACUUCGUG
rnacentral:rRNA from 1 species